AGCAGCCGCGGUAAUUCCAGCUCCAAUAGCGUAUAUUAAAGUUGUUGCAGUUAAAAAGCUCGUAGUUGAAUUUCGGGAUUGACGUGAUGGUCAUGCCUUAAGGGGUAUGAACUGUUACAGUUGAUUUCUCACCUUCUGGAGAAACUUGAUGUCCUUUAUUGGGUGUCUUGCGGAUCCAGGACCUUUACCUUGAAAAAAUUAGAGUGUUUAAAGCAGGCAUUUUUGCUCGAAUACAUUAGCAUGGAAUAAUAGAAUAGGACGGCAUGGUUCUAUUUUGUUGGCUUCUAGGAUCACCGUAAUGAUUAAUAGGGAUAGUUGGGGGCAUUAGUAUUCAAUUGUCAGAGGUGAAAUUCUUGGAUUUAUUGAAGACUAACUACUGCGAAAGCAUUUGCCAAGGAUGUUUUCAUUAAUCAAGAACGAAAGUUAGGGGAUCGAAGACGAUCAGAUACC
rnacentral:rRNA from 1 species